GAUGAACGCUGGCGGCGUGCCUAAUACAUGCAAGUCGAGCGAACGGACGAGAAGCUUGCUUUUCUGAUGUUAGCGGCGGACGGGUGAGUAACACGUGGAUAACCUACCUAUAAGACUGGGAUAACUUCGGGAAACCGGAGCUAAUACCGGAUAAUAUUUUGAACCGCAUGGUUCAAAAGUGAAAGACGGUCUUGCUGUCACUUAUAGAUGGAUCCGCGCUGCAUUAGCUAGUUGGUAAGGUAACGGCUUACCAAGGCAACGAUGCAUAGCCGACCUGAGAGGGUGAUCGGCCACACUGGAACUGAGACACGGGCCAGACUCCUACGGGAGGCAGCAGUAGGGAAUCUUCCGCAAUGGGCGAAAGCCUGACGGAGCAACGCCGCGUGAGUGAUGAAGGUCUUCGGAUCGUAAAACUCUGUUAUUAGGGAAGAACAUAUGUGUAAGUAACUGUGCACAUCUUGACGGUACCUAAUCAGAAAGCCACGGCUAACUACGUG
rnacentral:rRNA from 1 species